GAGUUUGAGCAAGCUCCGGGAGUUGGUGAUGGACAGGGAAGCCAGGCAUGGUGCAGUCCAUGGAGUCGCAAAGAGCCGGACACAACUGAGUUGACUGAACUGACUAAACUGAACCGACCUUGGUUGUAAUUGUUACUAUCAAUCAUGCCCUUUUCUGAACGACCAUGCACCAUCUAUUCUUCUCUUAAGAUGUUAGUCGUUUUUCACCUGCUGUGUUAAAACAAUCGCUGUUUGUUAUGCAGAAUAGAUUCUCUGAAUGAUAAGACUUUUAUACCCGUAUACCUCUGAAGUAAACCUAUAUCGAAAAUAAUGCAAAUGUCACCAAAGGAUUGAAUAAUAAAUGAGAGCCUCAUUCUCACCACUAAUGAGAACCAUGACCAUGCCAGCAUGACUGUGCUUCAGACAAGGCACAAGGACACAGACCCAGAUGGACAGCAGGUCACUCACAAGACUCUUUUUCAAGAAUAUGGAUGUAACUUAGCUCUUCUGUGGUCCCCUAUAUGGAAACAGUUCCUCCCCCUACCAGCCCUUAAUAAUCAGCGGGAGUUAAUGCCCACAGCAUGGGAAAAAAUAGAAUGAAUUGUAGGUGAAAGCUCCAUUUCAAACAGUUCUUAAAGAGGCAACUUGCUUGUUCAUAGCCAUUAGUGACUGGGUAUAAGUCAGAAUGUGCUUGAACGUCCACAGAUAUGCUUCAGUAUUCAAGAUAUUUUACAUCAGAAAUUUCAUGUCAGCCCACACUUUUGUGAAAUGACGUGUAUGGGGACUUCCCUGGUGGUCCAAGGGUUAAGAAUUCACCUUCCAAUGCAGGGGGUAUGGGUUCCAUCCCUGGUUGGAGAACUAAAACCCACAUGCUUCGUUGUCUAAAGCAAAGGCAGCAUUACAAUAAGUGCAAUAAAGACUUUUUAAAAAUGGUCCACAUUAAAAAAAAAUCUUUAAAAAGUAAUAUAUAUUACUGUGUUCUCGUAUUUAUUUAAAAAUGAAUAACAUUAGCAAUGGGAAAGUAAAUAGGAGCUUCAGUGUUCUAUCCAUUGUUCUUCU
rnacentral:lncRNA from 1 species